rnacentral:rRNA from 1 species
GGACCUGACUGCUAUCGGAUUGAUACUAAGCCAUGCGAGUCAUGNUAGCAAUACAAGGCAUACGGCUCAGUAACGCGUAGUCAACCUAACCUAUGGACGGGAAUAACCUCGGGAAACUGAGAAUAAUGCCCGAUAGAACAUUAUGCCUGGAAUGGUUUAUGUUCCAAAUGAUUUAUCGCCGUAGGAUGGGACUGCGGCCUAUCAGUUUGUUGGUGAGGUAAUGGCCCACCAAGACUAUUACAGGUACGGGCUCUGAGAGGAGUAGCCCGGAGAUGGGUACUGAGACACGGACCCAGGCCCUAUGGGGCGCAGCAGGCGAGAAAACUUUGCAAUGUGCGAAAGCACGACAAGGUUAAUCCGAGUGGUUUCUGCUAAAGAAACCUUUUGUCAGUCCUAGAAACACUGAUGAAUAAGGGGUGGGCGAAGUUCUGGUGUCAGCU